UACGAAGGGGGCGAGCGUUGUUCGGAUUUACUGGGCGUAAAGGGCGCGCAGGCGGUCUUGAAAGUCAGGCGUGAAAGCCCCGGGCUUAACCUGGGAAUUGCGCUUGAUACUCUGAGACUGGAGUACGGGAGAGGAGAGUGGAAUUCCCAGUGUAGAGGUGAAAUUCGUAGAUAUCGGGAGGAACACCAGUGGCGAAGGCGGCGAUCUGGGUCGAUACUGACGCUGAGGUGCGAAAGCGUGGGGAGCAAACAGG
rnacentral:rRNA from 1 species